GGGGGUGUAGCUCAAUCGGUUAGAGCGCCAGCCUGUCACGCUGGAGGUUGCGAGUUCGAGUCUCGUCAUCCUCGCCA
rnacentral:tRNA from 1 species